UCCUCGCAGAUCGCAGGGACAAGUACGGAUGGACCCAAAUACGAUGUUGUGAAAAGCUAACACACGAUAAAACAUCAUACACACACACUCACACACACACUGUAGUGCAUGAAAAGAGUCAGCUCUGCAUAGCAAACAGAAUGGAAGGCCAGAAGUACGUAAUGACAUCCCAGUGCCUGCCCCUCACCGCGCCGCGACACGCAGGCUGUCUCCUCAACCUUGUAUAUAAAAUUAUGGUUGUCAGCUGGAUUGUAUUCCAAUCACUAGUGUGUGUUUUCCUCGGCGUCUCCUAGUAGAGUGUUUUCAUCAUUGUGUUUGCGAGUGUUUUUACUUGUGUCCCGCAGCCUCCACGAGCUGCAAAGCUUCACAAUGAGCAUCGCUGACGGCCACGCAGGUGAAGCUUACCUCUACCCUGAGUAUAUAUGUGAUCUGCCAGCGGUAGCGUGUCAGUCUUGACUUAUGUCUGUUCUAAAGCUUGGAGCGGACAUGUGCCUUAUCUGGUGCAGCUGGGCGAGGCGAGGAUCGGGAGGUGUUCUGCGGCGUGACGUCAUGGUGUAAGCACUAAUAAUAUGCUAUUUCUUUUGUUUCCUAUAGAUUAGUUUAACAACUUUUGAGAAGUAAAUGUUAAUCUAGGGUCGACAGCUUUUGCUAUAUCCAAACUUGUGGUACAUUACAUCUAAAAGGCUGAAGACCACUGCUACUUAGGCUCGAUAAGCGUGCUGAUAGUUGACUCUCGUCGGUAUUUAUCAAUAACCUAACUUAGCCCAGCAAUCACACCUAAUAAAACCUAAGUAACAGAAUUAUACCUAACCGUACGGGUGAUCAAUGGACGUGUACUGAAAUGUUUAACCUGUCCAACAGUCUCUAGAUAACUCUUUCUAAGUCUGGAGAAGCUUCGGAAGAGUCGUUUGAGCGUUCGAAUCGAUGACAAACCUUGUGUGCCAAAGGGCGGCGUCACUCCGGCCGCCGCUUCCUGAGAGUUGCGACCAAGGAGACUAAUAAUCUUGGUUACGACCUUCUGGACGUUAUCAAGAGUGGUGACGAUGGUGUGUGCAGGUUAGAAAAUAACAUAAUACUGAAAAGGAAGGUGUGUGAAUAAGAAGAAGGGAGGAACGAGAGGAAGAGGACCUAUAGAAGCGAUACAAAAGCGUUACAGGUCAAAAGAAGAAGAAGAAGAAGAAUAAGAUAGGCUACACAACACAUGGGAAUAAGGUGAGAAUUGUUGACCCUGGAGAAGCAACCAAGAGAAGAUUCUCAAGACUUUGGAGCUGCAGAUGAGGGUCAUAAUAGCAAGGAAAACUGUUCUCACCUCUGCUGUCAGUCUUCCGGGAGGGCGAGCUUGAGGCAAUGAUGACAUGUCCCCGGUCCUCGUAAUCUUGUGGCUUUCUACUGUUGCUCAUCGUCGUCUUGACAAGACCACCUCUCCUUACAUAGUCCCCUGGACGGUCGGACUGCACGGCCAUGAGUUGAGUGGAUGAACCCUGAU